UCCAUCAAGGUGUCACCAAUCUUCCAGCCUCCCAGGCAGAAGUCUUUGAGAGACAAGUGGAUGGAAAAACUUUUUGGCCCUCUUCCUUAGGAUCAGAAGGCAAAGAUUGACCAGACCAAGCCCUGAGACACAGUGUUGAGAGCCAAGACAUAAAGUUGUGAAGAUUCAGACCCAGAGCCCAGCAGGGUACAGGCUGGAGGGGUGAUGUGAGUGAUCAGUAACACCAUGAAGACUCUGCUCCUGGGUCAGGAAUGCUUUUUUGUCCCUGUUUUGGAUUUUCCACCAUGAACAGCCAAUGCAGGAAGAAAUCUAAAGGUGAAGGAAAGGCAGCGUUCAGCACUGAGCAAGUCCAUGUUGGAGAAAGUUCACAGGGAAUUGGAAAUCCUUGUCUUCGUGGUUCCUGGCUCAGCAGGACCCCUGUGGGGCCUCUCCCUCUCUUGGGAAAGAGACUGCUCUAGAAGGUUUACUACACCAGUGAGGAGAAGAUGAGCGCAAGGGGGAUUGGCUGGCUGAGGGCGAAAUCAAGACUGGAGCCAAGUGCGCUGAGCUCUCACAUGAGGUCCUUUGCUCCUGUUCCCUGGAGGCAUAAGUGGCUGGGGUAGAGAGAAGCAGGGGUAUUUCUUCUGUCCUUUCUUGCUUAGGGAGUGGGGGUGGAAAUCUCCCUGCAUCUAAGGAAAUUUGAAAAGACAAACUAUGGUUGCUUCUUCAAGCAAACCACCUCACCACACUAUCCAGGGGAUAAAACCCGCUUGCUGCUGCUAAAUUAUGCCAAGAGAGAACAUUCUGAUCUUUCUCCUCAAUUCUAGGCAUGACAGUGUGACUCGGUGCUUAAAGGCAUGGAGUUUUGAGUUGCAGACCUAGGUUUGAGUGCUGAAUCUACUAGCUUCAGGGUGUUAAAAAAGUUUCUUAAUCUCUCUAAACCUUAUUUUUCUCAAAGGUAAAAAACUGGGUGUAGUUGUGAGUAUAGUGAAUGCACAUAGUAUGUGCAUUUGGCAUGUUAAUUCACUAUUAUUCUGGACAUAGUUUCUCCUAAGAAAAAGGAUGAACUAAUUGCAGGGCCUAGCCUAAGCUCUGAGAAGUCAUUUGUUAUAGCAUUUCAGUCCAUAGUAAACAAGAAGAAAUGAGGUAAAGAGUUUAAACCAGGGAAGGCAUAGCUGUGGUCACCAAACAACCUGUUGAAGGCGAGCUGUAGGCACCAAAAAACCUAUUACGGACUGAAUUGUGUUCCUCAAAUUCAUACGUUGAAGUCCUAACCCCAAGUACCGAAUGUGACUGUAUUUGGGGAUACGGUCCCUGAAGAAGUCACUCAGCUGGAAGGAGUCAUAUUGGAUUAGGUGUUGGGAAUUGGCUGGCCAAGGGAGAAAUCAAGGCUGGAACCAAGUGCUGAACUCUCACAUCAGGUCCUUUAGUCCUGUUCCCUGGACCCUAAUCCAAUAUGACUGGCAUCUUUAUAUGAAGAGGAAGAGGCACCAGAGGGUACACACGCAGAGAAAAGGCCAUGUGUGGACACAGUAAGAUGACGAACAUCUGUAAGCCAAGGAGGGAAACCUCAGAAGAAACCAGUCUUGCCUGCACCUUGAUCUUGGAGGUCCAGUCUCCAGAACUGUGAAAAAAAUGAACUGGUGUUGUUUAAAUCCCCCAGUCUGUGGUAUUUUGUCAUGGUGGCCCUAGAAGACAAAUAUACAACCCAAAGGAAUAUUCUUUCCACUUUCUCCCUCUUCCACUUUAUAGUUUUUUCUCCUUCGUUUCUUUCUUUUUCUCUUUUACUUUCCUUUUCUUCUCUUCUCUUUCCUCUGGUUUUUAAUUUUAAUUUUAAUUUUUGGCCUUGCUAUACCUCCAUUUGCCUUUCCAGGAAGCUGAAUUCCAGACAAUUAAUCAUUCAUCUCAUCAGUUCAGCAAAGCAAAUGCCCUCAAUGGUUUCUUUUGUGAUUCGAUUAUUAUGGGAUCAGAAUGUAACUUAUUCCUCUGGGAAAAAUGAAACAUAAAAAUUUCAGAAAUAAGGUUUUGGGCCAGCUUCAUUGGUUUUAAGAGAAGGAAGGGAGGAGACUCAUGCAGGUUUGACGCUGAGCAGCACCAUGUGGUUGGGCCUGGCAGGCACUCGAGGCUUUAGGUCUUGGUUUGAAUCCAGACUAGAAAAUCAUUACUUAUUAAAAGCCUUGAGGGUUUGGGUCUAGGAAAGUCUAUGUGAAGAGAUAAUAGUUUGGAAAAAGUUUUGCAGAACUAAAGAAAAGUUUCCACAGUUACCUUUUCUGUCCUAAUGUAGAGCAUCUUUGUUAACUAGGUCUUGGAUCAAUCCAAGCUGUGUCUGAGAAUAACCAUUUAUAAUUUCUCACUGGCCAGCACUAACACCCUUUAGAAAAGGAACUCAAAGCAGCCCUAGCAGCCAGAGUCAUGCAAUCAUGGUGGGAGUACAGCUCCUCACCAAGGUCAGCUCCUUAGUGAAAUCCAUGCCUUCUGGAGGACUGCUUGUAAAUAAAUACUAAGCACAACCAUUAAAAAAUAAUUUGGCUGUGACCAUCAAA
rnacentral:lncRNA from 1 species